GUGGGGAAUUUUGGACAAUGGGGGCAACCCUGAUCCAGCAAUGCCGCGUGCAGGAAGAAGGCCUUCGGGUUGUAAACUGCUUUUGUACGGAACGAAACGGUCCUGGUUAAUACCUGGGGCUAAUGACGGUACCGUAAGAAUAAGCACCGGCUAACUACGUGCCAGCAGCCGCGGUAAUACGUAGGGUGCAAGCGUUAAUCGGAAUUACUGUGCGUAAAGCGUGCGCAGGCGGUUUUGUAAGACAGGCGUGAAAUCCCCGGGCUCAACCUGUGAAUAGCGCUUGUGACUGCAAGGCUGGAGUGCGGCAGAGGGGGAUGGAAUUCCGCGUGUAGCAGUGAAAUGCGUAGAUAUGCGGAGGAACACCGAUGGCGAAGGCAAUCCCCUGGGCCUGCACUGACGCUCAUGCACGAAAGCGUGGGGAGCAAACAGGAUUAGAAACCCGUGUAGUCC
rnacentral:rRNA from 1 species